rnacentral:rRNA from 1 species
AAUCAACGCUGGCGGCGUGCCUAACACAUGCAAGUCGCACGAGAAAGAGGGGGCAACCCCUUGAGUAAAGUGGCGUACGGGUGAGUAACACGUGACUAACCUACCUCCGAGUGGGGAAGUAACUCCGGGAAACCGGGGCUAAUACCGCAUAACAUCUACGGAUCAAAGCAGUAAUGCGCUUGGAGAGGGGGUCGCGGCUGAUUAGCUAGUUGGUGAGGUAAUGGCUCACCAAGGCGACGAUCAGUAU